GUGGAUUAGAUACCCUGGUAGUCCACGCAGUAAACGAUGAAGGCUAGCUAUUGGCGAUAUACAGUCAGUGGCUAAGGGAAACCGAUAAGCCUUCCACCUGGGGAGUACGCCGGCAACGGUGAAACUCAAAGGAAUUGACGGGGGCCCGCACAAGCGGAGGAACAUGUGGUUUAAUUCGAUGAUACGCGAGGAACCUUACCCGGGCUUGAAAGUUAGUGACGGACCUGGAAACAGGUCUUUCCGCAAGGACACGAAACUAGGUGCUGCAUGGUCGUCGACAGCU
rnacentral:rRNA from 1 species